rnacentral:rRNA from 1 species
GACGAACCACACAAACGUUAUUCGGAAUUACUGGGCUUAAAGGGUGCGUAGGCGGCGCAGAAAGUAGGGUGUGAAAUCCCUCGGCUCAACCGAGGAACUGCGCCCUAAACUACUGUGCUCGAGGGAGGUAGAGGUGAGCGGAACUUAGGGUGGAGCGGUGAAAUGCGUUGAUAUCCUAAGGAACACCGGUGGCGAAAGCGGCUCACUGGACCUCUUCUGACGCUGAGGCACGGAAGCUAGGGUAGCGAACGGG